rnacentral:rRNA from 1 species
UUCCGGUUGAUCCUGCCGGACCUUACUGCUAUCGGGGUGGGACUAAGACAUGCGAGUCGAGCGUUUCUAGCUAUGUUGAGACGCGGCAUACGGCUCAGUAACACGUGGCUAACCUACCCUCAGGACGGGGACAAACCCGGGAAACUGGGGCUAAUAUCCGAUAGGCGAGGAAUCCUGGAAUGGUUCUUCACCCAAAGGACAUUGGAAACAUGCUUUCUCUGUCGCCUGGGGAUGGGGCCGCGACCGAUCAGGUUGUUGGUGAGGUAAUGGCUCACCAAGCCUUUAACCGGUACGGGCCAUGAGAGUGGUAGCCCGGAGAUGGGUACUGAGACAAGGACCCAGGCCCUACGGGGCGCAGCAGUCGCGAAAACUCCGCAAUGCACGAAAGUGUGACGGGGCUACCCCGAGUGCCGUCCGCUGAGGAUGGCUUUUCCUUGGUGUAACUAGCCGGGGGAAUAAGGAGAGGGCAAGACUGGUGUCAGCCGCCGCGGUAAUACCAGCUCUCCGAGUGGUAGGGAUGAUUAUUGGGCUUAAAGCGUCCGUAGCCGGCUUAGCAAGUUUCCUGUUAAAUUCAGCGACCUAAUCGUUGAGCCGCGGGAAAUACUACUAGGCUAGGAGGCGGGAGAGGUCGACGGUACUUCUGGGGUAG